UAUUCUUUUUUUAUGCUCUCUUUGUGCAGCCUAUAGAAGGAAUAAGCCUGACUCUCCAUACUCACUGAUUUUCUAAAAAAAAGCACUCUGAAAAUUAAAUUCAAACACAAGAAAAAACCAAAAAAUAGAGAGGAUUUCAAGCUUUCUCCAUCUCUAUUUUUCUGCUUCACCUUUUUGGAUAUACAAGUUCGAUUGAUUGUUUGAAUUUCUGGUUCUACUGCAGAAAGUUGCUGCUGGGAUCUUUUACUUGGGAUGGAUUCCACUUCUCUUUGUUUAUCUAUUAGCCAGCUAGUAAAAAUCGGCGGUUCGAUUUUACGAUCAUCAAGGCGUCUCGAGGUCUCCCAGUGAUUGACUUCAAGGGCUCACAACGACCAGCCUCGAGGCAGUGUAAACCAGUAGCUUCGGUGGCUCGAUGUGAUGUUCCCAAAGCAUGUGACCAGAGCUGACGAAGCCUAUUAUGCUAGUCCAGGCCCGCACCAUGGCAUUAAAUAGUUGUACCGACUCUAUAUCUUUGUAAUAAAUACAUUUGUACUAUGUUGGAAUUCUCUGUCAUAUAUAAAGGGCAUCCUUGUCAUUUUGUAAAUGAUCUAUUUCUCAAUAUUGAAUACACAAGAACAUUAUCUCUAAUCUCAA